AUUGAACGCUGGCGGCAUGCUUUACACGUGCAAGUCGAACGGCAGCGCGGGGCAACCUGGCGGCGAGUGGCGCACGGGUGCGUAAUAUAUCGGAACGUACCCAGAAGUGGGGGAUAACGUAGCGAAAGUUACGCUAAUACCGCAUACGAUCUACGGAUGAAAGUAGGGGACCGCAAGGCCUUAUGCUUUUGGAGCGGCCGAUAUCUGAUUAGCUAGUUGGUGAGGUAAAGGCUCACCAAGGCGACGAUCAGUAGCUGGUCUGAGAGGACGACCAGCCACACUGGAACUGAGACACGGUCCAGACUCCUACGGGAGGCAGCAGUGGGGAAUUUUGGACAAUGGGCGCAAGCCUGAUCCAGCAAUGCCGCGUGAGUGAAGAAGGCCUUCGGGUUGUAAAGCUCUUUUGUCAGGGAAGAAACGGUAGAGGCUAAUAUCCUUUGCUAAUGACGGUACCUGAAGAAUAAGCACCGGCUAACUACGUG
rnacentral:rRNA from 1 species